rnacentral:rRNA from 1 species
AGGACAAACGCUGGCGGCGUGCCUAAGACAUGCAAGUCGGACGGGGGGUUUCGGCCCCGAGUGGCGGACGGGUGAGGAGCGCGUGGAGAACCUGCCCCGGGAUGGGGGAUACCAGCCAGAAAUGGCUGCUAAUACCGCAUACGAUUCCCUGCUGGUAAGGCGUGGGAAGGAAAGCCGCAAGGCGUCCUGGGAGGGGUCCGCGUCGGAUUAGCUGGUUGGUGGGGUAACGGCCUACCAAGGCGACGAUCCGUAGCUGGUCUGAGAGGACGGCCAGCCACACUGGGACUGAGACACGGCCCAGACUCCUACGGGAGGCAGCAGUUAGGGAAUUUUGACAAUGGGCGCAAGCCUGAUCGAGUGACGCCGCGUGUGGGAUGACGCCUUUCGGGGUGUAAACCACUUUUCUUGGGGACGAGCAGGGACGGUACCCGAGGAAUAAGCCUCCGGCUAACUACGUGCCAGCAGCCGC